UUACAACUGCUAUUAGAACAGAUAUUACAUUGAUAUUUACAAUCAGAUAUAUAACUUGGGACUUACAUUAUUAUGGACUUAUAUUAUUACAUUAAUUUUAUGAAAUAUAUGCUCAUACAUAUGACCCUCACAGACGAUAAUGUCUCUACUCCACUCAUAUUUUGUAAGGGAGAAAGAUUUACAAAUUAAUUCCACAUAAUUUUUCUUUAAUCGAGAGAAGUUGAGUAUAAGACUACCCGCAUAGUCCAUGUUAACUUUGAAAAUAGUGGUUCACUAUUGGGAUAAAGCCCGAAUAACCUUUUUUUUUUAAUAAAAAGAAAAUUCGAAAAAUGAUAUAGAAGCUUCCACAUUUGGUAAAGAUAUCCAUGUAGGAGGCAAAUUAAAUAGCCGUAUUCUAAAUAUGUAAUUAAAAAAAAAAAAUUGCCAGCGUCCCAAAUUCUUUGUGUGGCCGAUUUGUCAAAUCUUUCCUUCGUGUGACUUAAUUUUCAAUUCUCAUUUAGUAAAAAAAAAAGAACAAAAGAACUUCAAAUUCUCAUAAAAUCAUGUCGCAUGUCGCCAGACUUGACACUCAUCUACCAACGUAUUGGACGUUCUAGCCAGACCUUCCCUCCGCCUCCAACAUCAAAAUUAUCUGGUUCAUGAGAAAUCCACCGUACGGUUCAUAAAACAAUUGCAAUAUAUCGAUCUGGCAUGGGAAGUCAAAUUGACAGUCUGUUGCCGUGUUCAAUUUUUCUGACUCACAGUCAACGGUUCAGAUUUCAAAAAAUGGCAAAAUCUUUGACUUAUUUAAUAUGAUGCCCUAUGUGGGUGAAUUAUUUGAUCAUUAAUUACGUAUGCCCCGCACGUCCUGUAUUAUCUUUCGGUUUUGUCCACAUAUAAAACAAUUAACAAAUUAAAUCAAACCCUCCUCCCAUCCAUUUCUCUUUACCUAAACAAAAGGUAGGUAUUACCUAUCACAUUUUUCGCUUUAAUAAUGCCAAUCGACUAAGGCCCAUUCAUCAAUAAUUUUGAUUUAGUAUGAUUCGAAUGCCUAAAUGAAUUAAAGAAGACAAAUCGAUCAAUACUUCAAUAAUUUGGGUUUUUUUUUUUUUUAAUUUGUCUUUGAUCUAGAAAAUAGUGAAUUUAAUUAAUUAGGUUUGUGAUGUAAUGUUGUCGAAAUUGUAUUUGUAGUCGCUAUCUGUCUAUUCAAUUUUAAAUCACUUUCCACUAACUAUUGAUUAUGAUUUUAAAAUGAUCAAUAAUGUUUGCCGACUAGACACUAAUUUCCUUCAAAUUACCAACUCUUUAAUUUACCUUAUUUUUAUUAUAGGAUGGAAAGUA
rnacentral:lncRNA from 1 species